UACAUGGGGUGCAAACGUUGCUCGGAAUUAUUGGGCGUAAAGCGCACGUAGGUGGUCUGUUAUGUCAGAUGUGAAAGCCCUCGGCUUAACUGAGGAAGUGCACCUGAAACUGGCAGGCUUGAGUACGAAAGAGGGUCGCGGAAUUCCCGGUGUAGAGGUGAAAUUCGUAGAUAUCGGGAGGAACACCGGUGGCGAAGGCGGUUCUCUGGGCCUGUACUGACGCUGAGGAACGAAAGCGUGGGGAGCGAACAGG
rnacentral:rRNA from 1 species